AAUUAGGUCUUUUCUGUUUUGACCUAACCUCUAUAAUUCUUGGUGUUAUCUCUCUAUUCCUUAAAUCUUUAUUUUCCGCAUUUUAUUUACCAUAUUAUUAGUUUCCCUUGAUAAUUUAGAAAACAUCUUUUAUCCAAAGUAUUAUUUUUGAAUUGUGGUAAACUUUAAUCAAUGUUCCAUUUAUUCAUACUCACCUAAUUGAUGGAGAAG
rnacentral:lncRNA from 1 species